rnacentral:rRNA from 1 species
ACUCUCGGUAAUGGAUAUCUCGGCUCUUGCAUCGAUGAAGAACGUAGCGAAAUGCAAUACUUGGUGCGAAUUGCAGAAUCCCGUGAACCAUCGAGUCUUUGAACGCAAGUUGUGCUCGAAGCCACUAGGCCGAGAGCACGCCUGCCUGGGUGUCA